rnacentral:rRNA from 1 species
UUGACCUCAAAUCAGGUAGGACUACCCGCUGAACUUAAGCAUAUCAAUAAGCGGAGGAAAAGAAACUAACAAGGAUUCCCUCAGUAACUGCGAGUGAAGUGGGAAAAGCUCAAAUUUGAAAUCUGGCAGCUCUUUCAGGUUGUCCGAGUUGUAAUCUAGAGAAGCGUUACCUGUGUUGGACCGUGUAAAAGUCUUCUGGAAUGGAGCAUCAUAGAGGGUGAGAAUCCCGUCUUUGACAUGGACUACCAGCAUGCCAAGGUGCACUCUCAAAGAGUCGAGUUGUUUGGGAAUGCAGCUCAAAAUGGGUGGUAAAUGCCAUCUAAAGCUAAAUAUUGGCGAGAGACCGAUAGCGAACAAGUACCGUGAGGGAAAGAUGAAAAGAACUUUGGAAAGAGAGUUAAACAGUACGUGAAAUUGCUGAAAGGGAAACGCUUAAAGUCAGUCGCAUUAGCUGGAAAUCAGGCUUGCUUUUGCAAGGUGCACUUUCUAGUUGAUGGGUCAGCAUCAAUUUUGAUCGUUGGAUAAAGUCAUUGGGAAUGUGGCAUCUUUGGAUGUGUUAUAGCCCAGUGUUGAAUACAGCGGUCAGGAUUGAGGAAUUCAGCAUGCCUCUAGGGGCCAGGUUUCGACCAUGUUCAUGCUUAGGAUGCUGGCAUAAUGGCUUUAAUCGACCCGUC